rnacentral:rRNA from 2 species
AUGGACGAAAGUCUGAUGGAGCAACGCCGCGUGAGUGAAGAAGGGUUUCGGCUCGUAAAACUCUGUUGUUAAAGAAGAACAUAUCUGAGAGUAACUGUUCAGGUAUUGACGGUAUUUAACCAGAAAGCCACGGCUAACUACGUGCCAGCAGCCGCGGUAAUACGUAGGUGGCAAGCGUUGUCCGGAUUUAUUGGGCGUAAAGCGAGCGCAGGCGGUUUUUUAAGUCUGAUGUGAAAGCCUUCGGCUCAACCGAAGAAGUGCAUCGGAAACUGGGGAACUUGAGUGCAGAAGAGGACAGUGGAACUCCAUGUGUAGCGGUGAAAUGCGUAGAUAUAUGGAAGAACACCAGUGGCGAAGGCGGCUGUCUGGUCUGUAACUGACGCUGAGGCUCGAAAGUAUGGGUAGCAAACAGGAUUAGAUACCCUGGUAGUCCAUACCGUAAACGAUGAAUGCUAAGUGUUGGAGGGUUUCCGCCCUUCAGUGCUGCAGCUAACGCAUUAAGCAUUCCGCCUGGGGAGUACGGCCGCAAGGCUGAAACUCAAAGGAAUUGACGGGGGCCCGCACAAGCGGUGGAGCAUGUGGUUUAAUUCGAAGCUACGCGAAGAACCUUACCAGGUCUUGACAUACUAUGCCAA